AUUGAACGCUGGCGGAAUGCUUUACACAUGCAAGUCGAACGGUAGAGGGGGCAACCCCUCGAGAGUGGCGAACGGGUGAGUAAUAUAUCGGAACGUGCCCAGUCGUGGGGGAUAACGUAGCGAAAGUUAAGCUAAUACCGCAUACGAUCUACGGAUGAAAGCGGGGGAUCGCAAGACCUCGCGCGAUUGGAGCGGCAGAUAUCAGAUUAGGUAGUUGGUGGGGUAAAGGCUCACCAAGCCAACGAUCUGUAGCUGGUCUGAGAGGACGACCAGCCACACUGGAACUGAGACACGGUCCAGACUCCUACGGGAGGCAGCAGUGGGGAAUUUUGGACAAUGGACGCAAGUCUGAUCCAGCCAUUCCGCGUGCAGGAUGAAGGCCCUCGGGUUGUAAACUGCUUUUGUACGGAACGAAAAGGUCUCUCUUAAUACGGGGGACUCAUGACGGUACCGUAAGAAUAAGCACCGGCUAACUACGUGCCAGCAGCCGCCGUAA
rnacentral:rRNA from 1 species